GACGUAGGGGGCGAGCGUUGUCCGGAUUUAUUGGGCGUAAAGCGUGCGUAGGCGGCUGCGCAAGUCGGUUGUGAAACCCCGGGGCUCAACCCCGGAACUGCAUCCGAUACUGCCGUGCUUGAGGACUGGAGAGGAGACUGGAAUUUACGGUGUAGCGGUGAAAUGCGUAGAUAUCGUAAGGAAGACCAGUGGCGAAGGCGGGUCUCUGGACAGUUCCUGACGCUGAGGCACGAAGGUCAGGGGAGCAAACGGG
rnacentral:rRNA from 1 species